CAGAGAAAGACCUGGUCAAUUCAAGAUUCAUUUCAAUUGCAAUACAAGCAUUUCACCCUUUCACAUUUAAUGAUUAAGCCAUAAAAUAUUAAUGAUAUCAUCUUUGUUUUUGCAUGAGGAUGCAACUGUGUCAACAGAAUAAAUUUCACACUAAGUUUUAAGUCUCAGUUCUGCAACCUUCAGAAAUUCAUGUCACCUCUCUGGGCUUCACAGAAACGUAUAAGACAGGAUAGGCUACUACUGUCUUAUCACAACUACCGUCUUACCCAUCUAGUAAGGAUUUUAUGAUGGAGCAAAGGAGAGAUCAAGAGGAGUACCUUCUUAUCUAAUAUAAUGAUUACCAAAGAAUUUGCCUGUUGAAAGUUCAAUAGAGGAAAAGGAAAUUAGAGAAAGAAGACAAGAUCACAACUGAGACAAGAGGAAAAGGAGAGUGCUCCUCCUCUAAGCAGAAUUGUGUAUGCUCUCUGCAUAUUCUCUAAGUUUUAAGGACAACCUACAGCGGGCAGCUGAUGAGUCUGGAUCCCAUAAGCUGGGAAGGGAGAACACUUACCUGUAUGGCAAGAAGCCCUGGCCUGUGAAAGUCAAGAGGGACCUGUGGCACCAAGGACUCCGAAACAGAAACAUGGCAACUUCAAGGAAGGCAUUAAACUUGGGAUUGGUCUAGGAUGCUGCCAUUUCAACAUAUCAAUCUCAAGAUCAACAUAGCAAAAUAUUACUUAUCAUUCAUUAGAAUUUUCACUAUCUUUAGCCUAAUGCCACCCACCCCACCGCCCAGGUAUACCCCAGGACUUGGUAUUUAGACCUCCUCCAUGUGCAUUCAUUCCCUUGGUGAUCUCAGGCUAACUAGUUUUUUAAAAUACCAUUUAUAUGACCAUGACUCCCCAGUUAAUAUUCCCAGUGCCAACCUUCCCCAUGAAUGGCAUACUCACAAAUAUAGCUUCACACAUGGCUAAUGAGCUUUUGAAACAACUUUUCUAAAAUAAAAUGUGUUAUUCUUCCCCCAAAGUCUGCUUUUCCCUGCCCCACCCCAUUUCAUUUUUUCCCAUCUUACUAUGAGGUAACAUCAGAGAUCAGUAGGUACCAUCAACAACCUUAGGAUCAUUCUGCCCUCUCACAUCACAUUUCCAAUUUAUUCAACAGCAAAUUCUGGAGGUUCAGCCCUUCUAAAGACAUCACAAUUCCAACCGUGCCUCAACUCACUAAAAUCUCUAACCGAGAUAACCACAAAGCUUUCCUCCCAGAUAUUCUCACAUCAGUCAAGUGCUCAAAGACAAAGACAACACCCCAAAAGCUACACACUUUUACACUGUCCAUCUUCUUUCCCUGUUUUAUUUUCUUUGUAAAACUCAGCCUUUUCUGGCAUACUUAAUAAUCAUCAGUUAAUUAUCUGUCUUUUGCAGUAGUUCUCAAACUUUCACAAUCACCUGUUAAAAGACAAAUUGCUGAACCCCACUCUCAGAGUUUCAGAUUCAAUAGGUCUAGGCCGGGGACUUGAGAAUUUGCAUUUCUAGCAAUUCCCAGCACACUGAUACUAAUGAUCUGGGAACCACACUUUGAAAAACACUGCUCUACAGAGUGUAAGUUCCUGGAGACCAGGGCCCUUGUGUUGAUGGUCACUGUAUCGCAAGCACAUGAGAGAGCAGACGUGAAUGAUGCUGUAGGGUAAACUUAAGCAAACCCUUAGAAUGACCCUGUACAGUAGACACACCUGAAAGUGUGUCCCAAGCUAGGGAAUCUAGUGGACAGCCCGAAGAUUUGUUCUUUGUCUGUGAGGAACAUCUGAAACCCCAUCCCAUCCCAUGGAACAUGGGCCAUACAGAGGAAUGAGGCCCUGAGUUUGGGGUUAAUGAGGGUUGCCAGGUGGAGGUCAUAAAGGAGAGAGUGUUAAGUGAAAAUGCUACAUAAACUGCAUGCUGUUUGCAAGUGGUUGCGGUUUUCCUGCCCAGCCUGCCACCACUGGAUCAUUUCUGUAGGUAAGUUGGUUCUCCUGUCCAGCCCACUGCCACUGACUCUCUCCACUGUAUGUAAGCUCCUAAUGAAACUCCAUGUCUCCUUUGUUGGCUCGGGGUCUCUUCUUCAGCCUCUUGAACCUAGUACCUUCCCUAUUGAGGUUAAUGAGGGUUCGGCACAACAGACGCUCAAUAACACUCGUUGAACAAAUGAAUUAAUAAUCUUGAAAUAAACCUAUUUUAAUAUUACAGACAUUUCCAUGAGCAUUUGAUUCUAAAUAAUUUAUCUCAAAACUUCAAAACUACAAAGCAU
rnacentral:lncRNA from 1 species